rnacentral:rRNA from 1 species
CAGCCGCCACGGUAAUACAGAGGGUGCAAGCGUUAAUCGGAAUUACUGGGCGUAAAGCGCGCGUAGGUGGUUUGUUAAGUUGGAUGUGAAAUCCCCGGGCUCAACCUGGGAACUGCAUCCAAAACUGGCAAGCUAGAGUAUGGUAGAGGGUGGUGGAAUUUCCUGUGUAGCGGUGAAAUGCGUAGAUAUAGGAAGGAACACCAGUGGCGAAGGCGACCACCUGGACUGAUACUGACACUGAGGUGCGAAAGCGUGGGGAGCAAACAGGAUUAGAUACCCCCGUAGUCCCUGUCUCUUAUAC